AUAUCAAUAAGCGGAGGAAAAGAAACUAACAAGGAUUCCCUCAGUAACGGCGAGUGAAGCGGGAAGAGCUCAAAUUUAAAAUCUGGUUUGCUUGCAAAUCCGAGUUGUAGUCUGAAGAAACGUUUUCCAUGAAGCACUCGAGGCACAAGUCCCUUUGGAACAGGGCAUCAUAGAGGGUGAGAAUCCCGUCCAUGGUCUCGAAGUUGCUUUCAUUUUGUGAUACGUUUUCUAAAGAGUCAGGUUGUUUGGGAAUGCAGCCUAAAAUGGGUGGUAAAUUUCAUCUAAAGCUAAAUAUUGGCGAGAGACCGAUAGCGAACAAGUACCGUGAGGGAAAGAUGAAAAGAACUUUGAAAAGAGAGUUAAAACAGUAC
rnacentral:rRNA from 1 species